rnacentral:rRNA from 1 species
CCUACGGGAUGCACCAGUGGGGAAUAUUGCACAAUGGGCGCAAGCCUGAUGCAGCCAUGCCGCGUGUGUGAAGAAGGCCUUCGGGUUGUAAAGCACUUUCAGCGGGGAGGAAGGCGGUGAGGUUAAUAACCUCAUCGAUUGACGUUACCCGCAGAAGAAGCACCAGCUAACUCCGUGCCAGCAGCCGCGGUAAUACGGAGGGUGCUAGCGUUAAUCGGAAUUACUGGGCGUAAAGCGCACGCAGGCGGUCUGUCAAGUCGGAUGUGAAAUCCCCGGGCUCAACCUGGGAACUGCAUUCGAAACUGGCAGGCUAGAGUCUUGUAGAGGGGGGUAGAAUUCCAGGUGUAGCGGUGAAAUGCGUAGGGAUCUGGGGGUAUACCGGUGGCGAAGGCGGCCCCCUGGACAAAGACUGACGCUCAGGUGCGAAAGCGUGGGGAGCAAACAGGAUUAGAUACCCCGGUAGUC